CAUCUGCAAGUCAUCUGCAGGAGAGAGACUCCAUCACCAGACCCUUCUUCCACCCCCCACCCCUCUCUCUCUCUCUCUCUCUCUCUCUCUCUACUUUUCCAUUCCCUUCUCUGUGUGAGGAAUGAGGCAUUUUAACAUCUCCCACCCAAUCCAUCUGCUCCUCUGCAGUUUUCACUCUGCAGAGAUGAAAAGAAAGGGGAAAUGAAAGCAAUGCCCCCACCAGAGAACAUCUCUCUCUCUCUGUAUAUGCAAAAUGCACUGUGUGGGAUAUGGUGAGAUCUUUGGUGUCCCUUUCUUGUCCCUCACUCUCAUGACGAUUUUGACCCUUCACUGCACCCAUCCCUCUCAUUACUAUUCACCACACACCACUCCCUUUCGUUGCUUCCACUUCUAUAAAUCUAACCCUAAGCUACUUUCUUAUAUAUUCUGUAUUAUAUAUACAACCAUUAUAUUUGCUACUGUUAUGGCUAUUAUAUGCAUGUGUAUCAUGUGUGGUUGUGUGUGUGUAUGAGUGUACAGUAGUUUGUGCUCUCUAUUGAUCUUCUCUUUCCCUCUUCAAAUGAAUCCUUUGAUUUUGUGGGAAACUUUCAUGUUUUAGACAUGCUCUAUGUAUUAAAAGGUGUAGCAAUCCAUGUUUAGGUGUUUUUGGGAAAAAAAGGCGUAAAUUAUUUUCUCUAUUUUAUUUUCUCUUGAUUUUGUAGAGUUUUCAAUUGAUGUAUGCAUAUGAUAUGUAUUGACAGGGAAUUUCUAUAUGGACAAUGUGACCUAUAAUAUAGGUUAAUCUUAAUCCCCUAUAUUUGUUAGGGUAUAGCCCAUGCAUAUAGCCAUGUAGAUGUAUCUACAUUUUUAUGCUAAAUCUUCUUUUUCCCACCUUGUUGUAGGCUCUGAUAGGUAUCAUUCAGCUAUUCCCAAACGGGAGUGAUAUUUUUCGGAUCAAUCCCUAGCUUGAGUUAUGAUUUUUCUUUAUCUUUAAUUCUAAUUAAAUAGUUGUCAAAUUGUGGAAUGCAUCUGCCUCGACAAAGAUCCUUAACGGAAGAUUCAUGUUGUCUUUAUUUUUCCCUUUUAACAAUUUUCCUAUUAAUUCUUCCUUUUUGCCUUCAAUCUGAUAUUUACCCUCAGCUUUUGUUUCUCUUCAGUUUCUUUUGCUUUCUCCCACCCUGUACUUCAAAAUUGAGCGGGGGUUUCAAUUCUUUUGGUCUUCUGUUAUCAUAUAUCAUGGUUUUGUCUUUCCCUUGGUAGAGGUUUUCAUUUGAUCCCUGCAGGCUGCUUCUCUCUUCUGAUCCUCUUGUUAGGGUUUCUGUAUGCGUGUUUGUGUGUAUUUGGAACUAAUCCUAGGUUUGUAAGCUCUGCACCUAUGUGACUUUGGGCUUGUUAAUUGGGUAGUGUGGUUGCUGUUCUUGAUAAUUCUUGACAUGUCUCUUAUUGUCAGAGCUUUGACAAGGUAAGGAUCUUCAUUGUAAUGUGAUGCUACUCUCUGUUCCUUUCUCACUGAUUCAUUUAUUAGCUUUGAUGCUAUGAGGAUUUUGUGAUUAGUUUGACGGAUGAAGACACCGGUGGGACAUACAUGAAUCCUAAAUGAGAUUCUCGUAGAAGUGUUUUGUGUGGAUUAGCAAGAUUAAGGUCUGGGGAUCUUUUGCUCUAUGUAAUUACCUACUUGUUCCUUUGGUUUGAAGCCUGUUGCUGUUUUCUGGAAUUUAUGCAUGGAUUGUGCCUCAACUAAAGAGACUUGGUACAUGGGGGAAUGGGCUGAGAGAGAGCUUCCUUCAGCCCAUUCAUGGGCGGCUCUGGGGAUGAAUUGACUGCCGACUCAUUCAUUCAAGCACUCAGUAGAUACCCAGAGAAGUGAGACUUAAUCUACUGGCGUCUGAGUGAAUGAAGCGGGAGUCGAUUCCUUCCCCACUUCUCCAUGCUUGGACUGAAGGGAGCUCCUUCUUUCUAUCUUCUCCAUGCACCUACCUGAUCAUUUUUUACUAAUGUGAUAUUGAUCCUCAAUGCUUGUAUAACUAGCUGGGAUGUCAUCGAUGUUCUGAUCAGACUGGAUUAGUGUACUACCUAUUCGUGUUUGUUUGGUCUUCAUUGUUUUAUUAAUUUGUAACCAGAGCUAGAGAGAAGGGAUGAAACUCGAAGAGCUUUUGCUUGAGGUAUGCUUCAUUGAUGUUUCCAAGCAUAUGGUAGUAAAUUGUUUCUUUCCCUUUGAGUUAUGUAUACUUAUGAUCGUGCACUUUUUAUUCUCUCUUUACAACAAUGAAUUUCAUGAUGUACAUACAAGGAUGCCAUUGCCAUCAAUUGUAGGAUCCCAUUACAUAUAUCCAUUUUUCCAUAGGCUUCAUGUCAAAUCGAACAAACGGAUUAAAUGGGGAUGUUAAUUAUGCAUGUUCAAGAUUGUAUUCUUUUAGAGCAAGCAAUUCUUUCAGAUCUAUUAUAUAUUUCACUUCACAGGGACGCCUGCUUCUCUAUUGUUGCCACAAUCCCAUAGCAGUUGAGCUUGUUUCUGCAUGUUAUGUUUAUGGUACUUUGUAGAUGAAGCAUUACAUUUAAGUGGACCGGAGAAAGUACCGGCUCGAUACUCCGGCAUGGGUUCCCCGCUAAUAUAGUCUAUGCACCCUGAGUUUGCCUGAGUACUAGGGUUUGGAUGAUCCAAAUCCAAACCCAAACCCUAGUUUGUUUAUUCUUCAACGUCCAAGUAGUGGAGGAAUUUGUUAUCCUCCGGCUAUUCCUCUGAACUUUUUACUUGUGCAGUGCAUUAACUGCUCAUUCUUUAAUGUCACGACUUCUCUUAGAUUUCUCCCAUUAAAUGUUUUUUGGCUCUAACUAGGGGUCUACCAGCAUCGGAACUUGAAGCUAAACUUGAGGUAUAAAUUUAGUUUCUUCUUUUCCUAUGGCCAUUUUCAUUUUCCCUCCUAACAAAGAAAUAAUAAAUAUCGUGCAAAAUCUUUCAUCCUCGUGGCUUUUAUGGAAGAAAAAUGGAUUCUCAAAAUCAUGAGAUGAGCUGUAAUUUAUGGACGAACUUUAUGGGCAGUGCAAGGAUUUGGGAUCCACUACAAGUUCAUCGCAACCCGAGCCAAAGUGAUGUUCGAGUGUGGAUCAGUUUCAGUCUAUAAGUUGAGGAAAUUUUAUGGUUGUAUCGGAAAGAAAAAAAUUCCUAGUUUCAAAGCCCCAUGCGGCUUGUUUUCCCCACGCCUCGGAUAGACUAAUCCCAUUCAGUUCUGAUGUGGUGGGUGAUUGCUUUUUCGAUUGGGAAUUGUAAUUUUUUUAAUUGAUGAACCCUAAAUUAAUAUAUAUUGAUCAUGCUGGGGGCUGGUUUGUGUGCAGAAAGUACAGUUCUUGGGAGUCCACCGAGACAACCGAAGUACAGAUAAGCCCCAUUUUCUAUUCAUUUGGGACCGUGCCUUAUGUCCUCUUGCCCCUCUCCCCUCCCUUCUCUUUUCAUAAAAUACUCCAUCAGAUGUUUGUUUUGUCCCAAGUACAUGACUUAGGUUUUUUUCUCUUCAUGUGGGUUACAUAUAUAUGUUGUAAGUUUUAUGUAGGGCACAUUGAGCCAAAAAAAAAAAAUUAUGUAGGGCACAAGGGGGGUUUUUUUUCUUUUUUCUUUUUUCUUUUUAUGAGAACUAGGGUUUCGGGAGGUGAGGGUGGGUCUACUUAAUUUCAUCCGACACUUAAGAUGUGAUAUGGAAAGCUGCUUGCAUUUAUCGGUGGUUUGAACAGAUAUAUGUUUCAUGAGUAACACUGUAUAUGAUAUUGUUUGGACUGAGUAUGGAUCUCACGGGAGGAUAUUAUAUGUUUUCCUACAUUGACAGAGGAAUCAUUUGAUGUUCAAGAGGAAGACAAUGGCAUCGAGAAGAGCAUUCUGUGCAUAAUGUCGCGGAAUGUGAAGUACACAAUGUGCGGAAUGGGAAAGUGCCUUGCUGCACGAUGUGCCCUGGCCAAAAGGAAUUCAGAGUCCCAGACCAGAAGAUAUGGUAGGGCAAGGCCCUGAUACUGUAAUUUGCUGUCGUAGUCGUCGGGCCUUUGACUUCGCUGAUGAUUCGGAGAAGUUAAUUCAUUUUGAGAGGUAAUGUCGAUAUUAUCUUACAUAUGAAUGAAAAAUCAAAUCACAUCAAAAAAUUGUACAUGUUAAGAGAUAUUGUCAAUAUCGAUAUUAUCUUAUGAAUCAAAAACCGAAAACAAGUAUAUGAUAUAAAAAAAAAUUGUAAAUGCUGAGGUUUCCAUGCAAAGAUCCUGGUAUGGGCCUUAUGGCCUUGUGCUAUUUCAAGAUUUGUCCUUGUCUAUCCACUUGAACUUCAUAAUCUGUAGAUGGUUUAUGUUCUCGAUAGAAAGGAAGGAGCCAUAUCAGAUAAAUCUUGGUAGAAUUUGGUAUAGGAAGGAUUUCUGCAAUUGUAUAUUGCGCUAACUGAAAUGUUUCACACUUUUUUGUUUUUUUGCCUUAGUCCUGGUGGAUCUACCGAUCUUUGUGAUCUUGUAAUUAUCUCUCGGCCAUUUUCACCAUA